rnacentral:rRNA from 1 species
AUUCCAGCUCCAAUAGCGUAUAUUAAAGUUGUUGCAGUUAAAAAGCUCGUAGUUGGAUUUGUGGUGUACUUCGGCGGCCCGUCACUAUGUGGUGGAGCUUGCUGAAGUCGCCAUCCUUGGGUGGAUCCUGUGUGGCAUUAAGCUGUCGUGCAAGGGAUGCCCAUCGUUUACUGUGAAAAAAUUAGAGUGUUCAUAGCAGGCUUAUGCCGUUGAAUAUAUUAGCAUGGAAUAAUAAGAUAGGACCUUGGUACUAUUUUGUUGGUUUGCGCACCAAGGUAAUGAUUAAUAGGGACAGUUGGGGGUAUUCGUAUUUCAUUGUCAGAGGUGAAAUUCUUGGAUUUUUGAAAGACGAACUACUGCGAAAGCAUUUACCAAGGAUGUUUUCAUUA